GAAGAGCCGCUCUAUUGCCAGACUCUGUUGGAAACCCAUGUGUGUACUUCCUCAAGGAAGUACUGGAUCUGAACUACAAACAUGCACCUAGUCUAUUGCAAUAGGCUAUUAUCAUGGUGAUGGCUUGCUCCAACACUUCCUGAGUGUGUCCUCCUCGUGGCGGAGCAGCGGGAAUUUAACCUGUUUCAAGCCAAUAGGCGGACUCGAGACAGCUCAACUCUUUCUUGAGAUGUCUACUGGGUUUCAAAACUGAAUCU